rnacentral:lncRNA from 1 species
GCAGAAAAUUAAAACUGGAUUGCUACCUGGUGCUUCCAUACACUGAAAAGAAAGAACACUCCAAUCUGCCAGCCUUACGAUGUUGGGAAAACGCAUCAAACAGUGCUAAGGUUUUAAGCAUGGAGAAUAUAAUCCAGUUGUAAAGCUAUUAACCCAGAAAAGAUGUCACAUGAAAGUCUGUAAAUAUGAACCACACUCUACUGCCCAGUGAUGGAGAAACCUACUGACUGUGGUGCGCAGAUUCCUAAGACGCCCUCAUGGUAUCCAUGUCCGCAUCAUCUCCUCCCCCUUGAGAGUGGGCUGAACCUGUGACUGGCCUCUAACCAACAGGCUAUCGUGAAGCAGCAAGCCUCCAUCAGUUCUGCAGCUACAAGAAAAUGAGUUCUGCCAACAACCAAGUGAGCACUGAAGAGGACCCUGAGCAUCAGAGGACAGCCUAGCCCUGGCCAAUGCCUUCAUUGCAGCACUGUGAGACCCGAACAAAAGAUCCAGCUAAUGCAUGUUCAGAAUUCUGAUUCCAGGAAACUGUGGAAUAAUAAAUGCUCCUAUGUUAAGCUGCUAAGUGUGUGGUAAUGUUUUUACUCAGCAAUAGAAAACUACUGCUGGAUGGGCGCGGUGGCUUGUGCCUGUAAUCCCAGCACUUUGGGAGACCGAGGCACAUGGAUCACUUGAG